rnacentral:rRNA from 2 species
GCAAGUCGAACGAUGAAGCCCUUCGGGGUGGAUUAGUGGCGAACGGGUGAGUAACACGUGGGCAAUCUGCCCUUCACUCUGGGACAAGCCCUGGAAACGGGGUCUAAUACCGGAUAACACUCCUGCCUGCAUGGGUGGGGGUUAAAAGCUCCGGCGGUGAAGGAUGAGCCCGCGGCCUAUCAGCUUGUUGGUGAGGUAGUGGCUCACCAAGGCGACGACGGGUAGCCGGCCUGAGAGGGCGACCGGCCACACUGGGACUGAGACACGGCCCAGACUCCUACGGGAGGCAGCAGUGGGGAAUAUUGCACAAUGGGCGAAAGCCUGAUGCAGCGACGCCGCGUGAGGGAUGACGGCCUUCGGGUUGUAAACCUCUUUCAGCAGGGAAGAAGCGAAAGUGACGGUACCUGCAGAAGAAGCGCCGGCUAACUACGUGCCAGCAGCCGCGGUAAUACGUAGGGCGCAAGCGUUGUCCGGAAUUAUUGGGCGUAAAGAGCUCGUAGGCGGCUUGUCACGUCGGUUG